rnacentral:misc_RNA from 1 species
CCUUCGUCCCCCUUUUUCACAAGUAUCGAGAUCGAAGAAAAAAUACCACGCGAUAUAAAGAAUUAUAAAAUAUCUCAACGUAGUGGUAUAGAAAAUAAUUAAUGCUGUAAUGACGCAGCCGGCACACCCGCCGAAUACAAGCAUCAUAAUCCACGCUGCUGCAGCUAAAGUUUGAAGUCGCCUCUCGAGCGGCGUAUUCAACGGAGCGAAUUUCACCCCUAGUAGUUCCAUUUUUGGUUCAGCUUAUUCUUCAGAUUCGGAGAUAGCGGCGCCUGAAGCAAAUCCUUCCAGUUUUAAUUGUCGAUAAUUUGAUCGGCACUCUUCGAUAAAUUUGUAUUCCACGAACAAUCCAGUAGAAUUAGAGAGCGAAUGUGGCAACACAUAAUU